UUAAUUUUCUCCCUCCUUCGAACCGUAUUGGCUUUCCUUCUGUUUCCCAAAUGUGGCAAGAUCCUUCUCAAGACCAUGGCACUCGCUCUGGAAUGUUCACCACACCCUUCACCUGGCUGACCUCAACCCCAGGUUGCGGGUUAAAUGUCACUCUCUGAGCCUGGCCUUCCACGAGCACCCGAUCUAAAACUAGGAGUUCCAUGCAGCCGGACAUCCCCCAGAAUAUACCCAGAACCCAUCCCUGGAUCUGGCAACUAGUAAACAGUCAAUAUAUGGUUGUUGAAGAAAUGAUGUAUAAAUGGAGACUUCAGUCAUGGGGACUUUGUAAGGGGCAGAAGAAAUCCAUCUACCAGAGCCAGAACAACACAGGACACGUGUCCCACAGACGAUGGCCGUCCCUGGGGAGAUUCCGUUUUGCUCUCUUUACAGAACUUGGAGCUGAGAUUUGAAUAGAGAGCCCUACAAGUGACUAUGGCAACUGGGAAUUACCCAACAGCUUUCGAAUCUGCCUAUAAAUAAAGGGAUGCUGAGAUUUCCCUUCUGGCAGCUUCCCCUGCCUGCC